AUUGAACGCUGGCGGCAGGCCUAACACAUGCAAGUCGAACGGUAACAGGAAACAGCUUGCUGUUUCGCUGACGAGUGGCGGACGGGUGAGUAAUGUCUGGGAAACUUCCUGAUGGAGGGGGAUAACUACUGGAAACGGUAGCUAAUACCGCAUAACGUCGCAAGACCAAAGAGGGGGACCUUCGGGCCUCUUGCCAUCGGAUGUGCCCAGAUGGGAUUAGCUAGUAGGUGGGGUAACGGCUCACCUAGGCGACGAUCCCUAGCUGGUCUGAGAGGAUGACCAGCCACACUGGAACUGAGACACGGUCCAGACUCCUACGGGAGGCAGCAGUGGGGAAUAUUGCACAAUGGGCGCAAGCCUGAUGCAGCCAUGCCGCGUGUAUGAAGAAGGCCUUCGGGUUGUAAAGUACUUUCAGCGGGGAGGAAGGGAGUAAAGUUAAUACCUUGGCUCAUUGACGUUACCCGCAGAAGAAGCACCGGCUAACUCCGUG
rnacentral:rRNA from 1 species